GUUCGCCAUUUAAAGUGGUACGCGAGCUGGGUUUAGAACGUCGUGAGACAGUUCGGUCCCUAUCUGCCGUGGGCGCUGGAGAAUUGAGGGGGGCUGCUCCCAGUACGAGAGGACCGGAGUGGACGCAUCACUGGUGUUCGGGUUGUCAUGCCAAUGGCACUGCCCGGUAGCUAAAUGCGGAAGAGAUAAGUGCUGAAAGCAUCUAAGCACGAAACUUGCCCCGAGAUGAGUUCUCCCUGAGACUUUAAGUCUCCUGAAGGAACGUUGAAGACGACGACGUUGAUAGGCCGGGUGUGUAAGCGCAGCGAUGCGUUGAGCUAACCGGUACUAAUGAACCGUGAGGCUUAACCUUACAACGCCAAAGAAGU
rnacentral:rRNA from 1 species